rnacentral:rRNA from 1 species
UACGAAGGGGGCUAGCGUUGUUCGGAAUCACUGGGCGUAAAGCGCACGUAGGCGGAUCUUUAAGUCAGGGGUGAAAUCCCGAGGCUCAACCUCGGAACUGCCUUUGAUACUGGGGAUCUCGAGUCCGGGAGAGGUGAGUGGAACUGCGAGUGUAGAGGUGAAAUUCGUAGCUAUUCGCAAGAACACCAGUGGCGAAGGCGGCUCACUGGCCCGGUACUGACGCUGAGGUGCGAAAGCGUGGGGAGCAAACAGG